UACGUAGGGGGCAAGCGUUGUCCGGAUUUAUUGGGCGUAAAGAGCGUGUAGGCGGCCUGGCAAGUCCGCUGUGAAAACUCGAGGCUUAACCUCGAGACGUCGGUGGAAACUGCCUGGCUAGAGUCCGGAAGAGGAGAGUGGAAUUCCUGGUGUAGCGGUGAAAUGCGCAGAUAUCAGGAAGAACACCCGUGGCGAAAGCGGCUCUCUGGAACGGUACUGACGCUGAGACGCGAAAGCGUGGGGAGCGAACAGG
rnacentral:rRNA from 1 species